CUCUGUGACUCCUACGGGAGGCAGCAGUGGGGAAUAUUGCACAAUGGGCGCAAGCCUGAUGCAGCCAUGCGCGUGUAUGAAGAAGGCCUUCGGGUUGUAAAGUACUUUCAGCAGUGAGGAAGGCGGAGUCGUUAAUAGCGGCCUCGUUUGACGUUAGCUGCAGAAGAAGCACCGGCUAACUCCGUGCCAGCAGCCGCGGUAAUACGGAGGGUGCGAGCGUUAAUCGGAAUUACUGGGCGUAAAGCGCAUGCAGGUGGUUUGUUAAGUCAGAUGUGAAAGCCCGGGGCUCAACCUCGGAAUUGCAUUUGAAACUGGCAGACUAGAGUACUGUAGAGGGGGUAGAAUUUCAGGUGUAGCGGUGAAAUGCGUAGAGAUCUGAAGGAAUACCGGUGGCGAAGGCGGCCCCCUGGACAGAUACUGACACUCAGAUGCGAAAGCGUGGGGAGCAAACAGGAUUAGAUACCCUGGUAG
rnacentral:rRNA from 1 species